GAUGAACGCUGGCGGCGUGCUUAACACAUGCAAGUCGAACGAAGCGACUAUGAUUGAGAUUUCGGUUGAUUGAAUAGUUGACUUAGUGGCGGACGGGUGAGUAACGCGUGGGUAACCUGCCUCGUACAGGGGGAUAACAGUUAGAAAUGACUGCUAAUACCGCAUAACCCGCUAGGGUCGCAUGACCCGGACGGAAAAGAUUUAUUGGUACGAGAUGGACCCGCGUCUGAUUAGCUAGUUGGUAAGGUAACGGCUUACCAAGGCGACGAUCAGUAGCCGGCCUGAGAGGGUGAACGGCCACAUUGGGACUGAGACACGGCCCAAACUCCUACGGGAGGCAGCAGUGGGGAAUAUUGCACAAUGGGCGAAAGCCUGAUGCAGCGACGCCGCGUGAGUGAAGAAGUAUUCGGUAUGUAAAGCUCUAUCAGCAGGGAAGAAAAUGACGGUACCUGACUAAGAAGCACCGGCUAAAUACGUG
rnacentral:rRNA from 1 species